GGGCCUGGCGGCCUCCCCCGGAAACGUUCCCCCAUCCUCGCCCGGCGCCUCACUCACCAAGGGCCGCGCCGGGGUUCUGCACUGUCACUGCGCUGCGGUUCCCCGCCUUAGGGAUUCUCACACGGUUCCACGGCUCCAGGCCCGGCGGCACCGCAGCCAUCAUGCGAGGCGGGGGGACUUACGAAAGGCGGAGCUACGCGAGAGCACGUCCAGCGACCGGAGUCUGGAACAGUUCCUCGUUCUUUCUCUGGCUCUGGAUCUGCGUCCCUGACAGUCUUAAAGAGGACAGACCUUUCAUUCAUGAGGAUGACCCUCAACUUGGCCCAGUCCAUGUUUCCUCAGACUCAAGCCUUGCAUUCCUGGCAGAAAGACUGAAGAAAUGAUGCUGUGCUCUUCUCAGUGCUUCGCGUCAGGAGGCUCUACUCUCUCAACCGGCCCCACUAUUGGGCAUCUUGAGACAAUGUUCUGCCUACACAAAAUUCUAAACUGAGAGGAGUGGCUCAGAAGCUCUACUAACAUGGAAUCACAUGUGAUUCAAGAGAGUGCCAAAGGAAACAACAGGACAGAAGGAGACAUGAGGAAGAGAUGGGACAGACAGCACUCAACCCUGAGCAGACGUGAGGGGCAAAAGAAAAGGCAACAUUAAGGACCCAUUCAAGUUUCAAGUCUCAGCGUCCCAGAGGAUGGUGAGGAUACAGCAAAAAUGGAGAGUGCAAAAGGAGAAAGGCAGUUGAAUGUGAAGAUAACGGGGUCUUCGGAGCCUACCUACUAAGUCUGGUGGGAUAACCCUGUUAAAUGGGAAGAGGGAGGCCUUUCUUGGUACAUUUUAGGAGGAAAAAAAUGGCUGCCUGGAAAGUUCAUAUACCAGCAGCAAAAAGAAAAGCAGAAUGGGAUGAGAGAUUAUGAAAGCCCUUCACGAGGAGGUUAAGUUCUGGCGGGUGUGCCCAUCAGAGACCAGCAGAGACAACUGGCUCUCCGGCCUGAGUUCGCCUACAUCAGAACUAGCACAUCUCUCUGUCUAAUUUCUAAUCACUGUAAAUAUGUUCAAAAUGAAAGAAAAAAGUAAUCUCACACCCCAAUAAACUGGAUCAGAUGUGUGUGCUUCA
rnacentral:lncRNA from 1 species